rnacentral:piRNA from 1 species
UGGAAAAGCUGCAGUCUUGAGACCUCA